rnacentral:rRNA from 1 species
UACAGAGGUCCCGAGCGUUGUUCGGAUUUACUGGGCGUAAAGCGUGCGUAGGCGGUUCAGUGUGUCGGUUGUGAAAUCUCCGGGCUUAACCUGGGAACUGCAUCCGAAACUGCUGGGCUAGAGUGUGGUAGAGGGCGGUAGAAUUCCAGGUGUAGCGGUGAAAUGCGUAGAUAUCUGGAGGAACACCGAUGGCGAAGGCAGCCGCCUGGGCCACAACUGACGCUGAGGUACGAAAGCGUGGGGAGCAAACAGG